rnacentral:rRNA from 1 species
GUGAGGAAUUUUCCGCAAUGGGCGAAAGCCUGACGGAGCAAUGCCGCGUGAAGGAUGAAGGCCUAUGGGUUGUAAACUUCUUUUCUCAGAAAAGAAUUAUGACGGUAUCUGAGGAAUAAGCAUCGGCUAACUCUGUGCCAGCAGCCGCGGUAAGACAGAGGAUGCAAGCGUUAUCCGGAAUGAUUGGGCGUAAAGCGUCUGUAGGUUGUUUAAAAAGUAUUCUGUCAAAGAUUAGGGCUUAACCCUAGAUAGGCAGAAUAAACUUUUAAGCUAGAGUUUGGUAGAGGCAGAGGGAAUGCCCGGUGGAGCGGUGAAAUGCGUAGAUAUCGGGAGGAACACCAAAGGCGAAGGCACUCUGCUGGGCCAAUACUAACACUGAGAGACGAAAGCGAGGGGAGCAAAUGGGAUUAGAUACCCCGGUAGUCC